UACGUAGGGGGCAAGCGUUGUCCGGAAUCAUUGGGCGUAAAGAGCGUGUAGGCGGUCCUGUAAGUCCGCUGUGAAAGUCAAGGGCUCAACCCUUGAAUGCCGGUGGAUACUGCAGGACUAGAGUCCGGAAGAGGCGAGUGGAAUUCCUGGUGUAGCGGUGAAAUGCGCAGAUAUCAGGAGGAACACCGAUGGCGAAGGCAGCGCGCUGGGACGGUACUGACGCUGAGACGCGAAAGCGUGGGGAGCAAACAGG
rnacentral:rRNA from 1 species